GCAGUGAUGUCCGAGUGAUUAAGGGGAUUGACUCGAAAUCAAUUCGGCUCUGCGGCGCAAGUUCGAAUCCUGUUCGCUGCG
rnacentral:tRNA from 1 species